CAACUGCGAGAUUGAGAAUGACACUACUGCAUCUGAAUAACUAUCACAAGACCGGAUAAGAGGAAAGGGUGGAUCUCUAGACCUCAAACAUCGGAAGUGCCAAAAUGAAAUAAGCAAGUAGAUAAGAUAUUGAAUCACCAGCCGACAAUCUCUAGUGGGUGUGAGAGGAUCACACCCACACGGGAAUUGAGACCCGGUCCAAACUCUUACGGGAGGCAGCAGUGGGGAAUAUUGCACAAUGGACACAAGCCUGACGCACCCCUGCCGCGUGUGUAAAGAAGGCCUUAGGGUUUAAAGCUUUUCCAGUUAGGCCAAAGGCACCCUACUUAGUAUGAGGGAGGAUUGACGUUCGCGGCAAAAGAACCACGGGAUUACUCCGUCCCAGCAACCGGGGUAAUAUGGGGGGUCCAAUUGUUAAUUAGAAUAUCAAGUCGUAAAGGGCCCUCGGGCGGUUUAAAAGGUCAAAUGUAAACUCCCCGCCCUCCAUCGGGAAUAGGAUUUAUAAACUGUCAUUCUACAGUCUUAUGGGGGAUGGUAGACCCAUGGGUCUAGUGGGAAAAUGUGUAGAGAUCUGGAGGAAUCCCGGGGGCGAAGGCGGCCCCCUGGACAAAAACUGACGCUCUGGUAGAAAACGUGGGGAGCAAACAGG
rnacentral:rRNA from 1 species